GCACAACCAAUUAGCCCAAAACACCUUGCUAUGCCACACCCACACGGGCACCCAGCAGUGAUAAACAUUAAGCAAUGAGUGAACAACCAAUUUAAAGCUCGACUUAGUUAUGAAUAUAAGGGCCGGUCAACCUCGUGCCAGCCACCGCGGUUAUACGAGGGGCCCAAAACAUCGGACAUCGGCGUAAAUUAUGGCUAGAGAAACUACUUACAACACGGGAAAUAAACACAAGCCCAACUGUAAAACCCGGGAUAAAAGAAACUCAAAUUCCCAAACAUAAAGUAACUUGAACCCAUGAAGACUAAGAAACAAACUAGGAUUAGAUACCCUACUAUGCUUAGUUGUUAACACGACAUUAAAAAACAUCAAUGUCCGCCAGAGGAUUACGCGCGAAAAGCUUAAAACUCAAAGGACUUGGCGGUGCUCCGUACUCGCCUUAGAGGAGCCUGUCCUGUAAUCGAUACUCCACGCUUUACCUUACCAUCUUUUGUAAAACAGCCUAUAUACCGCCGUCGCAAACUUACCCCAUGAGGGCACAACAGUAAGUAAAAUAGUAAUACACUAACACGUCAGGUCAAGGUGUAGCUUAUAAGAUGGAAGAGAUGGGCUACAUUUUCUAAUAAAGAACACACGGCAAAGGGUAUUGAAACAUACCCUCAAAGGUGGAUUUAAUAGUAAGAUAGCA
rnacentral:rRNA from 1 species